UGGGGAAUAUUGGGCAAUGGGCGAAAGCCUGACCCAGCAACGCCGCGUGAGUGAUGAAGGCCUUCGGGUUGUAAAACUCUUUGGACAGGGACGAAGAAAGUGACGGUACCUGUAGAACAAGCCACGGCUAACUACGUGCCAGCAGCCGCGGUAAUACGUAGGUGGCGAGCGUUAUCCGGAUUUACUGGGCGUAAAGCGCACGUAGGCGGACUUUUAAGUCAGGGGUGAAAUCCCGGGGCUCAACCCCGGAACUGCCUUUGAUACUGGAAGUCUUGAUUUGGGAAGAGGUGGGUGGAUUUCCGGGUGAAGGGGUGAAAUUCGUAGAUAUUCGGGGGAAAACCAGUGGCGAAGGCGGUUAACUGGACCAUUACUGCCGUGGGGGUGCGAAGGGGUGGGGAGCAACAGG
rnacentral:rRNA from 1 species